rnacentral:tRNA from 1 species
GAGGAGGUUAUAAGACCUGCUAACUUUUUAAUCUGGAAAUUAACCCCCAGCCCCCUU